rnacentral:rRNA from 1 species
AGCGAACGCUGGCGGCAGGCCUAACACAUGCAAGUCGAGCGCCCCGCAAGGGGAGCGGCAGACGGGAGAGUAACACGUGGGAACGUACCCUUUGGUUCGGAACAACCCAGGGAAACUUGGGCUAAUACCGGAUAAGCCCUUACGGGGAAAGAUUUAUCGCCGAAGGAUCGGCCCGCGUCUGAUUAGCUAGUUGGUGGGGUAACGGCCCACCAAGGCGACGAUCAGUAGCUGGUCUGAGAGGAUGAUCAGCCUCACUGGGACUGAGACACGGCCCAGACUCCUACGGGAGGCAGCAGUGGGGAAUAUUGGACAAUGGGCGCAAGCCUGAUCCAGCCAUGCCGCGUGGGUGAUGAAGGCCCUAGGGUUGUAAAGCCCUUUCGGCGGGGAAGAUAAUGACGGUACCCGCAGAAGAAGCCCCGGCUAACUUCGUGCCAGCAGCCGCCGUAAAAC